UUUAUCAAAAACAUCGCCUCCUGCAACUAUAUUGAGUAUAGGAGGUCCAGCCUGCCCAGUGACUACGGGUUCAACGGCCGCGGUAUUUUGACCGUGCAAAGGUAGCGCAAUCACUUGUCUCUUAAAUAGAGACCUGUAUGAAUGGCUAGACGAGGGCUUAACUGUCUCCCCCUUCCGGUCAGUGAAAUUGAUCUAUCCGUGCAGAAGCGGGUAUAAUUUACAAGACGAGAAGACCCUUUGGAGCUUAAGGUACAAAAUUCAACCACGUCAAACGACUUCACAGAGAGCAAGAACUUAGUGGCGAGUGAAAUUUUACCUUCGGUUGGGGCGACCACGGAGGAGAAAGAAGCCUCCGAGUGGACUGGGCUAAUCCCCAAAGCCAAGAGAUACAUCUAUAAGCCGCAGAACAUCUGACCAAAAAUGAUCCGGCUGAUAAAGCCGAUCAACGAACCAAGUUACCCUAGGGAUAACAGCGCAAUCCUCUCCCAGAGUCCAUAUCGACGAGGGGGUUUACGACCUCGAUGUUGGAUCAGGACAUCCUAAUGGUGCAGCCGCUAUUAAGGGUUCGUUUGUUCAACGAUUAAAGUCCUACGUGAUCUGAGUUCAGAC
rnacentral:rRNA from 1 species